UCCGUUAUGGUGUAGUGGCUAGCAUCGGUCGCUCUCAUUUGAAAGCAUUGAUCCGACCAGACCGGGGUUCGAUUCCCCGUGACGGAA